UACGUAGGGGGCAAGCGUUGUCCGGAAUCAUUGGGCGUAAAGCGCGUGUAGGCGGCCAGAUAAGUCCGCUGUGAAAACCCGAGGCUCAACCUCGGGACGUCGGCGGAAACCAUCUGGCUAGAGUCCGGAAGAGGAGAGUGGAAUUCCCGGUGUAGCGGUGAAAUGCGCAGAUAUCGGGAAGAACACCCGUGGCGAAGGCAGCUCUCUGGGACGGUACUGACGCUGAGACGCGAAAGCGUGGGGAGCGAACAGG
rnacentral:rRNA from 1 species